GAUGAACGCUGGCGGCGUGCCUAAUACAUGCAAGUCGAGCGAACGGACGAGAAGCUUGCUUCUCUGAUGUUAGCGGCGGACGGGUGAGUAACACGUGGAUAACCUACCUAUAAGACUGGGAUAACUUCGGGAAACUGGAGCUAAUACCGGAUAAUAUUUUGAACCGCAUGGUUCAAAAGUGAAAGACGGUCUUGCUGUCACUUAUAGAUGGAUCCGCGCUGCAUUAGCUAGUUGGUAAGGUAACGGCUUACCAAGGCAACGAUGCAUAGCAGACCUGAGAGGGUGAUCGGCCACACUGGAACUGAGACACGGUCCAGACUCCUACGGGAGGCAGCAGUAGGGAAUCUUCCGCAAAGGGCGAAAGCCUGACGGAGCAACGCCGCGUGAGUGAUGAAGGUCUUCGGAUCGUAAAACUCUGUUAUUAGGGAAGAACAUAUGUGUAAGUAACUGUGCACAUCUUGACGGUACCUAAUCAGAAAGCCACGGCUAACUACGUG
rnacentral:rRNA from 1 species